CUUUGUUGAGGAAACGAAGUUGGAAGUAUCGCCUUCAGGUUUUCCACACCGGCUGCCAAAACUCGGAAAAUGCCAAGUUGGUUCUUGACUCCAACAGCUUGCCAUGAUCUAAGGGCUGGUUGCUUCUCUAUACUUUGAAUUUUUUCCUGUGAAGAUGAGAAAAUGUAUUCCUUUUUCUGCCUCCCUACAAAGGAAUGCAAUAGCUAAUGCAUAAAAGUAAAGUAUUAUCGAUUAAAUAUCCGUUGUAAACUUAAUUUUGAUUGGAAUGUAAAUAAUGGAAAGCUCGCCUGUCAGUGUGGAUGUAUCAUCAACUUCUCAUCCAAAAGUUUAUUCAUCCAGACAAUCCUUCAAUAUGCAAUCAACUUGAUUCUAGGUGAUAAUGCAUGGGAUCAACUACAGAGAUGUUUCAGAAACAAUUUCAGAAGCUUAUUUUUGGUGUGGUGUAGAAGGAAAACAGUAUACUGUGGUUGUGGGUGAGAAGGAAAAAACCAAUUUGUAGGAGAGUGGGUGUGGAGUUGGAGGAGAACGUGGGAAGUUUCAGAAGCUUAGUUGGUUAUUCAUGAAAAUGUGGGAACGUGGGAAAUAUCUUGUGUAUUAUCAUUAUCUAUCUAUGUAACUGUUAUUGUUAAAAUACCAUAUGUUACUGUUCAUUAAAGUUUUUAAUGUUGGUUGUAGAUGGUUAUUUUUGUA